AGUAACCCCAGAGUGCAGUCUGGACGAUGGGGCGGGGCGACACUUCGAGGCGGAGCGACACGUGUCGCCCCGCCCAUAUUUGUUUUCCCCGCCUUUGACAUGUUCCUCCGAGCCAGCAGGGGGCAGUUUGCGUUGAAACAAACAGAACGGUGGCAACUACAGCAGCAGAGUAAUAACGCUAUUCCGUUGAUUGCUUGAGGUGAGUAAAAGUUGUUGUGUAAAUAUCUUAUAAUAUGAAAUGCGAUGUUCGAUCAUUUAUUUAUCCAUGGUACGUUCAAUUUGAAUAAUUAUUGUUAAUAAUUGUUAUAAAUUGCUAAUUUUAUUGUUCUUUGUGGAUUGUAACAGUACACUCUGUACAUGGCUUUAGUUCAUAGGUUCGAUUUUACAGAGGUAUGGCAUCACAUUUGUCAAGUUAUUUGAACAGACAUGCAUGAUUUUUGUGUGUAUAUUAUUAUUAUUAUUAUUAUUAUUAUUAUUAUUCAGGAUGACAUGAUCAGGAGGUGGUGGUGUUCUGUUCUCCUGGACAGUUUCACUCCGCAAAUAGCUCAACCACUGAGGAGAACUUCACCAUUCACCAUGUCUUCAGGCAGAGUCCAGCAAAGCAGCUUCCCCUGGAAAUCCUCAGGGAAGUUAUUUUGUCGGCGAGUGACUCUGCAUAUUUGACACUUUCUCUGGUUUGCAGAUGGUUUAGGGAUGUGCUCCGAAGUUUUUCGGAAAGUGGCACAGUUUGCCUGGCUAGACAUUGUGGCCAACUGGAAGAAUUGUCCUCCUGUCUCCUGACAGGAACGAGUUCAGAUGGAUGUACAGCAUCAGGGAAUGCUUGCAGUGCAGAGCCCUUUUCAAGUUUAACCCCCCAGGGUACAGGGAAGAGACCGGCGUGGUGAUCUUCUGAUACAGAUGGAUCUCUCAAAUCAGAAGGUUACAAUGACCACAAUAGCCAAGCGGGAAGUUAUAGGAACGAGUUCAGAUGGAUGUACAGCAUCAGGGAAUGCUUGCAGUGCAGAGCCCUUUUCAAGUUUAACCCCCCAGGGUACAGGGAAGAGACUGGCGUGGUGAUCUUCUGGGCUUUUGUUUACACAGGAUUUUGUUCCAAGGACUGUUUUUUUUUUUUUUUUUCGGCAUGAAACACAUUUGUGUGUUAAGUUCAUUGAAGGGAAAUAGAGAAUGGACUGAGAUCAACUGGUUUUGAUGUAUUAAUUGAUUUCAUUUAAAGUUAAACUUUGCAGUGUAUAAUGUUUUAAUAAAAAAGCUAUGGAAAACA